rnacentral:tRNA from 1 species
CGGGGUGUGGCGCAGCUGGUAGCGCACUACGUUCGGGACGUAGGGGCCGGAGGUUCGAGCCCUCUCACCCCGACCA